UACGAAGGGGGCUAGCGUUGCUCGGAAUUACUGGGCGUAAAGGGCGCGUAGGCGGCAUCAACAGUCAGGCGUGAAAUUCCUGGGCUCAACCUGGGGACUGCGCUUGAUACGUUGGAGCUAGAGGAUGGAAGAGGCUCGUGGAAUUCCCAGUGUAGAGGUGAAAUUCGUAGAUAUUGGGAAGAACACCGGUGGCGAAGGCGGCGAGCUGGUCCAUUACUGACGCUGAGGCGCGACAGCGUGGGGAGCAAACAGG
rnacentral:rRNA from 1 species